CAACCUCUGUGCUUCGUGGCAAGGUAGACUAGCAAACAUGCCCAACCUUUACCCACAUUCGAGAAAACACUCCCAACAAGAUUGCUUGCUCCAAAAUCGAAGAGGCACCGCCCUCCGAAUCUCGAGAGCCAGACUCCCAACAUGAUUACUUUCUCAAAAAUCGAAGAGGGUAAAGGAACAGUACCACGGCUGGAUAAUUGGAAAGUCCCUGUGUGUCAACCUCUGUGCUUCGUGGCAAGGUAGACUAGCAAACAUGCCCAACCUUUACUCACAUUCGAGAAAACACUCCCAACAAGAUUGCUUGCUCCAAAAUCGAAGAGGCACCGCCCUCCGAAUCUCGAGAGCCAGACUCCUAACAUGAUUACUUUCUCAAAAAUCGAA
rnacentral:lncRNA from 1 species